UACAGAGGUCCCAAGCGUUGUUCGGAUUUACUGGGCGUAAAGGGUGCGUAGGUGGCCGGGUAAGUCUGAUGUGAAAUCUCUGGGCUCAACCCAGAAAUGGCAUUGGAUACUAUCCGGCUUGAGGAGUGGAGGGGGGACUGGAAUACUUGGUGUAGCAGUGAAAUGCGUAGAUAUCUAGUGGAACACCAGUGGCGAAGGCGAGUCCCUGGACACUUCCUGACACUGAGGCACGAAAGCUAGGGGAGCAAACAGG
rnacentral:rRNA from 1 species